AUUAAUCUGAUGACACCAUAGUUCAACUGAUGCAUGUGAUGACAUAACUGUAAAUUAGUCUUUCGCUCCUAUCUGACCAUUAUC